UUGCGACCACACGCUCCGCCUCUCAGUCAAUCCAGACAAAUUCUAUGACUUGUCCUGAAGCUUUUAAGCUGUAAUUGAGCACAGGAUGCCCAGGAAAACCAAAGGCAGCUCUGCACAGACCUGCGUUUUUAUAGCUGCUAUAGUAUUCUGGUGCACUUUUUUUUCUCCCUGGCCAGACAGACACCACAAAACAGGCCAAGCGUGUUAGGAAGUCGCCACCUACACGGACUCAAAGUCAGCAGCUGAGGAUUUCCACCCACAUAAAAAUAUAUCAUGUCUAGAGUAAUAAGGUGACAAAUAUGCGGGAUAGCAAUGGCGACGACAGAGGCGGACCACACAGAGGCCAUGAAGGGAAACUGAGCAACUCCACGGUCAACGGGAGAGGAUCUGACUUACCGGUUGAUGAUGACGGUACUCACGAUGAUGGGCUUGCCUGAAGAGGGAAUCCUCGUUACAAGGCGUCAGCAGGAGCAGGCCUGCAUAGGCCUGCAUGGCAAAAAGGACAUAAACUGGAUUUCAGUGGGAGAUUAUAUGACAUUUGACAAAGAAAAAGUACAAAGGUAAAGAAAGAGACGGAAAUGUAAGUGUAAUGGAAGGGUUUCAAUUUAAUUGGAAAAAAGGAACCCAAAAUGUACAAACUGGCUAUUGCGUCAAGCAAUCCUCGUGUUUGUUGCGGAUUUUCUAUUGAUUGGUUGAACAAAAAUCACAUUCAGAGUUUUAGAAAUGUAAUGUCUAAUUCCACUCCUCCAUUUUGUGCGCAUGCUAAAAAAACACUUUACUAAUCUGAAUAAAGACAAAAAGAUGGCGAAUAGGCGAAUUUGUAUUAUUUUCCUUGGAUUAUUUCAUUUUGAAAUAAUUGUUUAAACGGUCUAAAGGCUAAGACAUAAAUAUAUAUAUUCAGCAUCUGCAGUUGACUAACUAUUUGAUCUCCCGCGAUAUAAAAUAAAAAUAUUUAACAGCUGGUAAACUGGCAUUUGGGAGAAACCAUCAUAAGUCAAAGAAACCCUUCGCUUGUAGGCUUUGUAUCUAAGUAUGAUUUUUCUGAUAUUUUUGCUAUAUGACAUUACAUUUUUUAAUAUCCCGAAACAGGUUGUUUUUCAGAAUUUUCCGAACGGUUACGCAGAAAAUUGUCUGCGUCAAAUAGAUCAUUUAGAUUAAACAUAAUAUGACUCUUAAACAGGAUUAUUCGAUUAAAUGGACGAAUUUAAGUAACACAUCACUACUGAACUACAUUUGUAACGUUUACAUUCUUAUUAAAUAAUGCACAGUAGAAUAUUAUUUAGCCACGUGUUUCGCAUCGUUUAUUACCCAACCUCAAUUCAUCUUGCUGAAUGAACUGGAUAUUAGAAAUACUUUAUUCAUCACAAAUUGGGAAAUUGUUUAUUGUAACUUCAUUCUAAGAUCUUAACUGAAGAUGGCGAUCAUUUAUAUGGGUGGCCACAAUGUUUCUACUAUCUCUUUAAAAUAAAACCAGAUAGAUUCAAUAGUUGAAUAAUUAUUUUAAGUUAGAAAAACAACCAAACAUGAGAAAUUAAUGACCGUAGCCCCUAUCCACUUCGAUUGCAGCAUUGUCUAAGCAUGAUACGGAUUUAAAGGAUUUCAUUUAGAGAUGUCUAAAACGUUUUCCUAGACACAUAUAUGUCUACCAUGUCGUCUUUUGUAAAUAGUAUUCGAAAAAUAAACAAAUAUUCAAUAUAAACAUGUUUUCUGCAACUCAACCGGACUCAUAUCUUCUAGAAAUGUAUGUUUGUUCUCGGAUGUAAAUAAACGUACGAUACAUUUGAUCUUGAA